ensembl:lncRNA
CAGCUCUAACUAAAUAAAUCCAACAGCUCUGGCUAUAGCUCGUCGUACAAAAAAAUGCAGGCGUGAAGAAAUAAUUACAGCCUCCACAUGAGCACCAGCAGCAUUAGAUAUGACGGUCAAAAUAACCGUAAUGAAUUAACUAUCUAAAAGAGCCUCCACAACAUUAUCAUUCACAUGAAGCUGGACUACACUGAAGUUGAUGCGGUCGGCUGACAAAUCAAGCAACUCAAUUAAACCGUCCACUGGUUGCUAAUAUAUUAGCCUAAUUAGCCUAAUAAAACCAACAGGUGCGGCCACCUGCAGUAAAUGACAAGACUGCCGUGACAAAGUCAUUCGCAGCGCAUUAAGCUGCCGUUUAACCUGUCUUUAUUUCCCCGAAAAUACAUCAAACACAGGUGUUCUGAAGAGGCUCACUCCACUCUCAUCCAAUCCAGCAGGAUCUUUAAGCUACUCAUCAGGUGGAUGAGCUGAAAUGUUUCCUGAGCCCCGAGUGUCACCCUCUGCACAUGAUGCUUCAGCUGCUCCUGACAACGUCAUUAUCAGAGGCAGACUGCAGCACUGCUGGAUUUUUAGCUCUGACUGACUGUGAUUGUAGGCCAGCACUGCUCAGGCGAGCGCAGAUUUAAAAGCAGCGUACUUGGAGUGGGACUCAAACCAGUGGAUCCAGUGGAAGAUGCCCAGACACACAACCAACCCACAGUCCACCCCAGGCUGAAACAAAGUCUCCACUGCUGUUGGGUCCUGUGCUCGGCAACACCCACGGUCCACGUACAGGAUUUUGGGGACAGGUUGAUUGGCCAACUGAAAUCUUUUCAUAACUCCCCUGCACAUCGGCCCCAGUUUGUCUGUGAACUCCUCACGGGUCAGCACAAACGAAACAGUUUGCUCGUUUCCGAUGCUGGUGAACCACUCAACUGAGCCUUGCCCCUCCCCAGACACCACCUUAGAAAGAUUUGGACAAAGUUUGGACAAUGUAAUAACUUCUUUUGGAUAACAGUUUAAAAACAUUUAACAGCAACGUGAACAUUUGUUAAAUUCAAAACAGAAAAAGAACAGAAUGCAAAAUUAAACUUUGGAUUUUACUAUAUGGCUAUAUGUUUUGAUUUCCAUACUUUCUUGAUUGAACCCAUUUUCAGCACAGUGCCAGAAGUGGACAGUAUUAGGCUGCAGUAAUCCUGCACGUUGUCAGUCUCUGACAGAAAGAAGACUGUGUUGCAGUAACUGCACAGAGGGAAGCUUUUUCAGAGGAGGUGGAGCCUGGAAUGUGUGUCCUAAAGAAGAGACGAUCCCUCCGGGUUUCACUAAGGUCAUGAGGAGUGUGGUGUACAGGUCCUUACAGUGAAGGUAGUCCUCAGCUUGUGUUCCCUUCGGUCCGGUUUCUC